rnacentral:rRNA from 1 species
UACAGAGGGGCAAGCGUUGUUCGGAAUUACUGGGCGUAAAGGGCGCGUAGGCGGCCUUCUAAGUCGAACGUGAAAUCCCCGGGCUCAACCCGGGAACUGCGUCCGAUACUGGAAGGCUUGAAUCCGGGAGAGGGAUGCGGAAUUCCAGGUGUAGCGGUGAAAUGCGUAGAGUAUCGUAAGGAAGACCAGUGGCGAAGGCGGGUCUCUGGACAGUUCCUGACGCUGAGGCACGAAGGUCAGGGAGCAAACGGG